GCAAUUGGUCGCGUAUCCGAGUGAGGCAAGAUGUUGGCAUAGCUGAUGGUCGAAUUGAAGCAAUUCCGCUCUGCCACAUGUAGCCACGCACGGCCGACCCGCAGUUGCU
rnacentral:pre_miRNA from 1 species